GCUAGGACGUACAUAGCUCAGUUGAUAGAAAAUGAGACUCUUAAUUGCAGGGUUGUGGGUCCGAGCCCCACAUUUAGCA